rnacentral:lncRNA from 1 species
AUGGAGACAGCCUCGGUUCAUAAAUCAGGUGGGGCCAGGGGCUGGGGGCCCAUACGCCAUGGAGCCCGACUCCCUCCUGGACCAAGACGACUCCUUCGGGUCUGGACUAUAAGCGAUUUGCCAUCCUGUACUUUGCCUCGAUGGGAGUCCCAACAAGUGGACAUAUGUGGGUUUUGCAUAUGUGCGGAGGAUGCAUUUGGUAAAGCGUCUCAGACGCGUCUCCGGGGAAGGUGCCACAGGCUCUGUCGCCCCCACAGAUGGAAGCUGGUGAGGAAAAGAUGGAUCCAGAUUGGGCUCCCUGGGCUACGUGUGAAAACAGAUGGGAGGGGGCCUGAGUGGAUGUGGGGUGGUAAGGAGAAGGGUCUGUGCUUCUGAAAUGCGGUGCAGCCCCUUACCCAAGGAGAGGAGGAAGGACCAUGAGAAGCCCUGACUCCGAGCACACUUCUGACUCUUCUGUCUUCUGGCCAGCCUCCAGGUGCAUCCUCUGGCAUUUUUAAAUCAGCUUCCCACCUUCAUAGUAACCCAGUUGGGUUCCUUCCACCCUCCCUUGCAAACAUCUUCCUCUUGGCCAAUAUUCACAUAAUUGCUACCUGUUCCAAAAAUGGGGCCAUGCAUUUUGCCUCUAUUUAUCUCACCAAAUCCUUGCAAGAACCUCUUGCAAUAAGCCCCAGUCACACCUUGGUGUUAGAGACACAGAAACUGAGCUCAGAGGGAUGUCAUAGCAUGCCUUAGGUCACAUAGCUGGCAAGUAGCCUAGCCUAGUGUUUUUGUUUGUUUUGUUUUGUUUGUUUGUUUUGCUGGGCCACAUCAUAGCAUGCCUUAGGUCACAUAGCUGGCAAGUAGCCUAGCCUAGUGUUUUUGUUUGUUUUGUUUUGUUUGUUUGUUUUGCUUUUUAGGGCCACAUCUGUGGCAUAUGGAAGUUCCCAGGCUAGGGGUCAAAUAAUCUGCCAGCCUGUGCCACAGCCGCAGCAACUCAGGAUCCAAGCGGCAUCUGCAACCUACACCACAGCUCAUGGCAAUGCCAGAUCCUUAACCCACUGAGCAAGGCCAGGGGUCGAACCUGCAUCCUGUCAAAUUGUCCCUUAGGGUGGUGGUACCCAAUUUCCUCUCCCCAGCAGUGUAUGAGAGUUGGGUUUGUUGAAUCCUAGUUGGGUUUGUUAACUGUUGAGCCAUGAAGGGAACUCCCCAGCCUAGAUUUGAACCCAAGUCUCUCUGACCCCCUGGUCACAUUAUCUUCUAAGAACACUCAGUGAAGACCAAGCAGGCAAUCCGUGUAUUGGGACUGCACCUCUUUUGUGGGUUCAGCAUGACCCCUUUUUUUCUGAGUAUUUGGGUCCAAUCAUCCCCUUUAUUCAUUCAACAAACCUUCCCCAAGCCAGGCCCUAUGCAGAUGGGGCUGCCAUGGUGGCUCAGACAAGGUUAGUGACCCAGAGGAGCUCACAGUCAGCUCAGGGAAGAGAUAGACCCAUUGUCAGGUGCCACAAUCCACGAUGUGAUAAACAAGGACAGUGGGGUGGGCCGGUGCCAUGGGAACCCUCUGCUUGAGAGUCAUGAAGACCUAGCAGGACCUUCUCAUGGGCUGAAAUAUCAGAGCUGGAUUUGGACCCACAGAGAUGGCGAGGAAGGGACAGGAAGAGUGAACGGUUUCUGAAGACAUGUCAGAGGUGGGGGGUUUGGAAGACCUGGCUGCAUGGUGGGGCUUGGGUGGCAGAGUCUCAGCUGGCUGGCACGAGGAUGUGAAGGGCCCCGUGGAAACUGGGGAGCAGGCUAUUUGUGUUCUUAAGAUUUACUGAGCACCUCACCAUGAGUCAGGCUUCAUGUCGAGACCUUCACAGACAUGACAACUGCAUCCUUUAAAUAAGGAAGCUGAAGUUUAGAGUUGGACUGGAUUUUUAUGUGGACUCUAUCUUUUACACCACCGUGCUUGCUCUGCACCUUUAAAAAUGUUCUGAAAAGUCAAAGACACACCCAGGUACUUCUCCCCCAAGUCAAGAAAUAAAACCUUACAGAGUUCCCAGGGUGGCACAGUAGUAACCAACACGAUCAGUAUCCAUGAGGACCGGGCUUCGAUCCCUGGGCUCGUUCAGUGGGUUAAGGAUCUGGUGUUGCUGCGAGCUGUGGUGUAGGUUGCAGACGAGACCUUCAGCGAAAGAAAGAAGGAAAGAAGGAAAGGAAAGAAGGAAGGAAGGAAGGAAGAAAAGAAGGAAGGAAGGAGAAAGAAAGAAAGAAAAGAAAGAAAGAAAGAAAGAAAGAAAGAAAGAGAAAGAAAGAAAGAAAAGAGAAAGAAAGACCUUACUAAUCUAGGUGAAGCCCUUUCCCACCUUCUUUCACAUGUCCCUCUCCCCCUCAAGAGGUAAACACUUCCCGAAUGGUGUAUUUAUCAUUCCUUGAAAUUUCUUUAUACUUUCGCUACAUAUAUGCAUUCCUAGCAAUCAUCUGGAAUUAUUUUGUCUUGCAUGUUUUAGAAGUCUACAUGAAUGAUGACAUACAACUUGAUCUUCUGCAACUUGCUCCCUAUCCCCCGCCCUUAAGAUUCAUAAAGAAUCUCUAUUUCCACUGCUGUACUAGAAAAUCUCUAGUGUGGAUUUUCACUGUCCUAUCCACAAUUUGCUUAUGCAUUUUGUCCGCUAAGGAACAUCGAGGCCCCUUUACUUCUUUGCUAGGAACACGGUUGCAAGAUGGCCUCUAGAUCUACCCCAGAGGCCGAGUCUCUGGCUCACUGGGAUGUGUGCAUCCUUUCAGGAUGCUGUCAGAUUGUCCUCCAGGGUGGUGGUACCCAAUUUCCUCUCCCCCAGCAGUGUAUGAGAGUCCUCUGGGCUCCACAUUUUCACCAAUACUCUCUGCGUGCCACCCCAUCAUUUUUUGCCAAUCCCACAGAUGUAAAGCGGCACCUUCCCACAGUUUUAUUUUGCAUUUUCUUGAUUAAGAGUGAGACUGAGGAGUUCCCAUCGUGGCGCGGUGGUUAACGAUUCCAACUAGGAACCAUGAAGUUGCGGGUUCGAUCCCUGGCCUUGCUCAGUGGGUUAACGAUCCGGCAUUGCCAUGAGCUGUGGUGUAGGUUGCAGAUGCGGCUCAGAUCCCACGUUGCUGCGGCUCUGGCAUAGGCCAGCGGCUACAGCUCCGAUUAGACCCCUAGCCUGGGAACCUCCAUAUGCCACAGGAGCGGCCCAAGAAAUAGCAAAAAGACAAAAAGACA